UACGUAGGGGGCGAGCGUUGUCCGGAUUUAUUGGGCGUAAAGAGCUCGUAGGCGGUUCGAUAAGUCGGACGUGAAAUCUCCACGCUCAACGUGGAGGGGCCGUUCGAUACUGUCGUGACUCGAGUCCGGUAGGGGAGUGUGGAAUUCCCGGUGUAGCGGUGAAAUGCGCAGAUAUCAGGAAGAACACCCGUGGCGAAAGCGGCUCUCUGGAACGGUACUGACGCUGAGACGCGAAAGCGUGGGGAGCGAACAGG
rnacentral:rRNA from 1 species